AAUCUUCCGCAAUGGAUGCAAGUCUGACGGCGUAUCGCCGCGUGAUUGAUGACGGCUUUCGGAUCGUAAAAUUCUGUUGUUAGGGAAGAACAAGUAUCGGAGUCACUGCCGGUACCUUGACGGUACCUUACGAGAAAGCCACUGCUAACUACGAGCCAUCAGCCGCGGUAAUACGUUGGUGGCAAGCUUUGUCCGGAUUUAUUGGGCGUAAAGCGCGCGCAGGCGGUCUUUUAAGUCUGAUGUGAAAUCUUACAGCUUAACUGUAAGCGGUCAUUGGAAACUGGGAGACUUGAGUGCAGAAGAGGAGAGUGGAAUUCCAUGUGUAGCGGUGAAAUGCGUAGAGAUAUGGAGGAACACCAGUGGCGAAGGCGACUCUCUGGUCUGCAACUGACGCUGAGGCGCGAAAGCGUGGGGAUCAAACA
rnacentral:rRNA from 1 species